UACGGGGGGGGCAAGCGUUGUUCGGAAUUACUGGGCGUAAAGGGCUCGUAGGCGGCCGCUUAAGUCAGACGUGAAAUCCCCAGGCUUAACCUGGGAACUGCGUCGGAUACUGGAUGGCUUGAAUUCGGGAGAGGGAUGCAGAAUUCCAGGUGUAGCGGUGAAAUGCGUAGAUAUCUGGAGGAAUACCGGUGGCGAAGGCGGCAUCCUGGACCGACAUUGACGCUGAGGAGCGAAAGCUAGGGGAGCAAACGGG
rnacentral:rRNA from 1 species